rnacentral:rRNA from 1 species
GGGCUGAAGGGCAGCCCCUUAGAAAAUCGAUUCUUCUAAGUCUCUAUCAAGACAUGACCCCUUAUCAUGAUGAUGAUAUGCCGUUUCUGAACUGGGGGCGCUCAGACGGUAACCCGGUACAACGACAGGAACUGACCAAGGGCUGCCUGGUAACUGCAGUUCUCAAGAGACACACGUAUGUAUCUUUUGAGCUCGGCAGCAGGCGUCAAGAAGUAGUGUGUUGAUGUCUUUCGUUUCGAGCUUUGACCGUACGAUGAGAGCGGAGAGCCACAGGAUCCUUUCCGUCUAGGACUUCGUGUUCAUUUAGCGAGCUCUGUGAAGAAGAGAAGCUGCUCGUGGCUUAGGGAGGUACAAAGUCGGGUUGUUAUACGUUUACGAGAACGUCGAACCGGAACCAAAGCAUAACGAACGUCGUGUCAUACGUGGACCUUAACGUCGAGGAUCGAGUGUCACGGCCGCUGUCACACCUUUACAACUCUAUGGUAUGGGUAACCAUAGCUAGGUCCGACGAGCGAGUGUGUUCGGAAGCUGGAGUCGACACUCCAGGUUCUACCGUAGGGUUUCGGUAAGUCACCGCGGAAACUCCACGAGCUGUAAAGAAACCGAGUUCCGUGUCGGGCCCACGACUUAAUGUAGAACCCGAUGACGAUAUUGUGGAGGUGGCCCUCGUACCUCAUAAAACCGGUCAGGCCCCCCAAGUCACCUCUAGGAAGAAGAGGGAUGGCCGAGAGGCUGUGGGUCUUGUCCAAGUGCCAGUAGCCCACGUCGCGGGAGCGGAACUAUAGGCUGAUGCUACCGUGCCCGAUGGUCCCGAACCCGCAGCGUUGUACGGCGUUAAACAGUCUGAACCACCUGCCUAGGACGAGUCCAUACCCGACGAGGGUCUGGUGUUAUGGUUUCUCCUACAUAAUGAUGCUGUGUUGAAAGAGCGGUAGUCAAUUGUGUUCAGUUUAGACCCUCAAGUUGGCGACGUCGAUACGCCAUGAUUACCUCCGUCGCCGUAAACUCAAGUUGUGAUGCAUGCACUCGUGUUUGUUUAAGUUACUGUGUAUAUUGCCUGCCCACGGAUACUAAGAACUGACCCGAUAUUCUCUACACUUCAGUACACUAUGACGUUUUGUCUUAUGUUGGCCAUGAAUGCGUACGGAGUCGCGGUUGUCGUUCACACACCUAAGGUGGUUACUGGUUCCCAUGUGGACGUUAACGUGGUUACCAAUACUUCCGUUGGGAAUAGAAGUUCUGCCUACGUUUCUACAAUUACUUACGCUGGCGUUAGGUACGGGAAGUCUACCGAAAACAGCGUUAUAACAACCUUUUAUGGCAACAAGAACAGCUGAACCGUUUUUUAUACAGUGACUUUCGUUAUGUACGUUGGGAUUAUAGCCGAAGUAUUAUCCAUUGUAGGUUUGUUCACUCCAGUGGAUCGAUCUGGUAAUUGAAGCAGUGUGAAAAACGUUACGGUACUUUCGGUACCUAGAUUAGAACCAAUUACAUGAAAUUGAUACAAAAUGUGAUAAGUAGUGGAGUUAGAUUUUGUAUUAACAGAGUAGAUUGCUGUAAUAGUCCUCAAUGUUUACCCUAAUAAACCAAACUACCAAUAGCAGUACUAGUGAUAGAAGACCCCUGUUUACUAUUAAGUUUUCUCCUUUGACUUAUUUCAAUUCGUCCUCAUAAAGGCAUUCGUACCUCCGCACGAAAACAAACUAUUCUACUUUAGCCUCUUUCCAGACCGAAAGUUACAUAAAAGUCUUCGUCUUGAGUAUGUACGGUGGCUGUUGAAGCUGUCACCGUCUUAUUAACCUUUUCCUCCGGUACCCUGCCAAAUAUUUCCAUAUUAUUUCUUGUACGGCCAACGUUAAUUUUCUACACGUCAUCAACUGCUCUCUGUCUUCUUCCUUAAACCGGUCCUCUACGAGUAAAACAGGGUUUAGUUAGUGUUCUUGCAACAGUUUGAGAACCCAACAACGGAACUCCACCUUCAAGGUUAAGAUCAUAUACUCAAACAGGAUUUACCAUGUGAUAAACUCGAAUAGGUACCGUUCUUGGUUCGUAACCUUUAUAGAAAGUUGUGAGAGAAUUCCUAACGAGUACUUCGUCGACUUCCUGAGUCGAAGAACGUAAGCAUACGUAGAGGGGGUUAUUAAGUACCACUACACUUUUCAAGGUUGUAGGACGAACUACUAUUGAUGUACCGUUUUCACAGUCUGAAGCCUCGGAGGUAUGAUCGCGGUAGACUGUUUCUCGUUAAACAGUGUUACCAAGUUCCAUGAACGCCAAUGGAACUAGGGCUUAUAUACGUUUGUACGGUCAAUUGUCUGUUUUCGCUACACAUGUCAAAACCUCAAUAAGAAGAUCUCUAAGAGUGUCCGAUCGACGGUGACUUCGAACUCCCCAGACUCUUCGUUUCUUCGAACAGUAACUAAAAGAACAGACGUUACUUCCUCUUAUUAGAUCUUCGACACAACCACUUUGUGCACUUUCCGGUUCUCUCGUACCUCAACAACUCUCCUUAACGUCUGGACCGAUUCUCUACGGAUCUGUACACACCGUUGUUGUCUGGGAGGUACUUUCUCCAACGGCUACUUGAGUUGUCUAACUCUUUUGAAAGUGACGUAGGGACCCAUGUCGAGUCGCAGCUCUGUCCUCAUCUUUUGGAAGAACCUCCUCUAUGAUGACUACCCAUACUUUAUCUUAAUUCACCAAUGGGAUACCCGCUCUCACUCUUGGUCGGGUAUUUGGGAUCUUCAAGGAUAAUACGUUCCACUCUUUUUUGUACAUAACAUUAGCCAAUUUGGAUGACUUCUAUGAAUACAAGGAAGAUAUGGAACAAUGUUACACAUUAUAGAUGCAAGGAAGCCUUAGAACAAUGGUACAUAAUGUUGAAUAUUUAAUGUUUAGUGAAAAAUUAGAUAAGCUACACACUACAGACAAGUUG